UAAAAAAUUUUGGCGGUAUUUUAAGCUUAUUAGAGGAAUUUGCUCUGUGAUGGACACAACGCCUUAAUCUUACUUAAUUUAGUAAUUUAAAUCAGUUUGUAUACCACUAUAUUAAUUAUAUUGAAUAGUUAUAUUUAAAAUUUUCUUAAAAAAAUAUAUUAAGUCAAGGUGCAUCUAAUAAUUAUGAAUGAAGUGAAUUACAUUAAUUUUAAUGUAAUUUUUUACAUGAAAAAAUUAAUUAGGAUUUAAUAGUAAAAUACUAAUAUUAUGAGUAUUUGAAUCAAGCUCUAAAAUAUGCACAUAUCGCCCGUCGCUCUCAGAGGUGAGAUAAGUCGUAACAAAGUAAAAAUACUGGAAAGUGUUUUUUAAAAUGAAAUCAUUCGAUGUUUCAUUUACAAUGAAAAUUUUGUUGUUUAACCAUUUUAA
rnacentral:rRNA from 1 species